AUGCUUUGGAAGAUAUGCAAGCAUCCAUGUAAUACAGAGGUUUUAUAAUCGUAAAUGAUCAAUGACUAAUGGACAAUCACACCUGCAAGGACGUUUGGCUUGAUGGCGGCCAUGUUUUUUAACCGAUCUUGCAGACAUUUUACAGACAUGUGCCAAAUUUCGUGGUGAUUUGGCCAAACAUCCUAACGUUACGGAGUUUUUUUUUUUUUGUGAAGAGCAAUGAGCUGUGUGAGAAAUUUAAAGUCAAUCUGACUCAUGGGGUCAAACCUUUGGAUUUAAUCGCAUCUCCGCCAUGUGGUGUAUUCGUCACACACGCAGUAGGGGUCCAAGUUUUGACAUCUUUUCAUCCUUUACGCAAACAAAUACGUAUGGUCCAUUUGUUACUCACACUUCUCUGAUGGUCGUCUACUGGAGUGCGGUACUCAGCCAGCUGCUGAGGGCUCCACUCCAUGACCUCUGACCUGGAUGGCACUCGUCCACCACUCAUCGUACGUCCUCGCCAGGUCUCAGCAGACGGAAGUCUUGAUAUUUAUUCAGGGGACCUCUUGAGUUCUUCCUGUUUCCAAGCUGGACAUCCAGGCUCCGCCCUCUGGAUUGGCCAAACUUCACUGUCAAUGAGUGGUUGUACUUCCUAAAACGGACUCGCCUCUCUCCAAAAAAAAAACUAAACAAACAAAAAAAACUUAUCUCGGGCUCUCAAGUCGUCGUGUACACCGACAUGUCAAAGUGGAACCAAGAUGGCUUCCUUCACUCUUCCGGUCUCCUCCACUUAUGGUGUGUUUGUCAACGUCUCUCUGUUUCUUUCACCCACACCCCCUCCCUCCUAGAGGAAGUGACUGUGCAGUAGGGAGGACUAGAGGAGAAGGCAGCAUCUUCAAACCCCCGCCACCACCUUCUUACCACAAAGCGGAAGAGCUGCAACAAAGUGGGUGUUGGGUGACAUACAUAAAACAAGUACACGUUUUGUUAGUAAACUAUCAAUUAUAUCAUCAUCAUCUUCCUUAGGAGUUUUUCCUUGCCUCUGUCGCCAAAGUGCUUGUUUGUUUUCGUUGAUGCUCCAAAUGUAAAGUGCCUUGACAUAGCAUGUUGCGCUAUAAAAAUCAAAUGAACUUGA